GUUUGCUCUGCUGUUAACAAGGUCCCUGUCUGUGUUUUCGUUGCUUCUAAUGGUUGUUUCAUUUGUUUUCUAUUUGGUAAUCUUUAGUAAUCUCCAUUUGUUCAGGUGGGUUUCUAUUUGUGUCUAACAGAACAUAAUGGUGAAAAGGAUCAUAUAGCUGAUCCAAUUAGUUUGGGAUUAAGGUUUAAUUGUUUCUUUGUUUAUAGCCUUGUGAAAUCUGUGUUCUUGUACGUUGAUUCCAUUAGACUAUUAGUGCGUGGAAUGUAAAAGAUACUGUGUAAUUCCAGGAUAAACAUUGCGUGACUGGCUUGUUAGUUUAUACUUUAUACUCAAAUUUGGCGGCUGAAUAUACAAUGGAAAGGGCGAAAAAAGAAGAGGAAAAUGAGAUCUUUUUUAUAGUGUUUGAAAUGCUAGAUUAAAUUUAUCUUAUUGUCUAUUGUAGUCUUGUAUGCAAAAUUAUUUCCUAUAUUUUCCAUGUUCAGGCGGGUCUUGCCAAGCUUAUU
rnacentral:misc_RNA from 1 species